rnacentral:tRNA from 1 species
GAAGGCAUAACUCAGUGGUAGAAUGCACGCUUAGCAUGCACAAGAUCCUGGGUUCAAUCCCCAGUACCUCCA